UACGUAGGGUGCAAGCGUUGUCCGGAAUUAUUGGGCGUAAAGAGCUCGUAGGUGGCGGGUCACGUCGGGUGUGAAAGCCCGGGGCUUAACCCCGGGUCUGCAUUCGAUACGGGCUUGCUAGGGUCCGGCAGGGGAGACUGGAAUUCCUGGUGUAGCGGUGAAAUGCGCAGAUAUCAGGAAGAACACCCGUGGCUAAGGCGGCUCUCUAGUACGGUACUGACGCUGAGACGCGAAAGCGUGGGGAGCGAACAGG
rnacentral:rRNA from 1 species